rnacentral:rRNA from 1 species
CCCUUAGAUGUUCUGGGCCGCACGCGCGCUACACUGAUUCAUGCAACAAGUUUUGUCCUUGGCUGAUAGGCCUGGGUAAUCUUUGAACGUGAAUCGUGAUGGGGAUAGAUGAUUGCAAUUAUUCAUCUUCAACGAGGAAUUCCCAGUAAACGCAAGUCAUCAGCUUGCAUUGAUUACGUCCCUGCCCUUUGUACACACCGCCCGUCGCACCUACCGAUUGAAUGGUCCGGUGAAAUCUUCGGAUCUGAGAGAUGUCUGAUUAAUUUCGGACGCCUUUUGGAAAAGUUGUUUAAACCUUACCAUUUAGAGGAAGGUGAAGUCGUAACA